rnacentral:rRNA from 1 species
CAGUAGCCACGGGAAUACGUAGGUGGCAAGCGUUGUCCGGAAUUAUUGGGCGUAAAGCGCGCGCAGGCGGAUCAGUCAGUCUGUCUUAAAAGUUCGGGGCUUAACCCCGUGAGGGGAUGGAAACUGCUGAUCUAGAGUAUCGGAGAGGAAAGUGGAAUUCCUAGUGUAGCGGUGAAAUGCGUAGAUAUUAGGAAGAACACCAGUGGCGAAGGCGACUUUCUGGACGAAAACUGACGCUGAGGCGCGAAAGCCAGGGGAGCGAACGGGAUUAGAUACCCCCGUAGUCCCUGUCUCUUAUACA